rnacentral:misc_RNA from 1 species
GUAGGUGAACCUGCGGAAGGAUCAUUAACACGUAUCCACGUAAUAACCCGAGAAUUUCUUAGGUAGCCUAGUCGAGAGCCUCUCCGGAGGCAAUUGACUAGUCUCCUUCGAUUCUAAACUAGUUCUUUGCCUGAAUUACCCCCCCGUUUUUCAGGCAGCUAAUUAGUUUAUAAACUCUCAGGGACAAAUCUCCUCGGAGACGCGACCUUGAGGGUUACUCGAAACCCCUUUUUCUAAACUAAAGGCCGUC